rnacentral:tRNA from 1 species
GCCUCGGUAGUUUAGUGGCUAGAACACAACCCUGUCACGGUUGAGGUCCGAGUUCGAUUCUCGGUCGGGGCG